AUUAAUGUGACCUCAAAUCAGGUAGGACUACCCGCUGAACUUAAGCAUAUCAAUAAGCGGAGGAAAAGAAACUAACAAGGAUUCCCCUAGUAACUGCGAGUGAAGCGGGAAAAGCUCAAAUUUAAAAUCUGGC
rnacentral:rRNA from 1 species